GGAUGAGCCCGCGGCCUAUCAGCUUGUUGGUGAGGUAACGGCUCACCAAGGCGACGACGGGUAGCUGGCGUGAGAGCGUGACCAGCCACACUGGGACUGAGACACGGCCCAGACUCCUACGGGAGGCAGCAGUGGGGAAUCUUGCGCAAUGGGGGAAACCCUGACGCAGCGACGCCGCGUGCGGGAUGAAGGCCUUCGGGUUGUAAACCGCUUUCAGCAGGGACGAAGCGAGAGUGACGGUACCUGCAGAAGAAGCCCCGGCCAACUACGUGACAGCAGCCGCGGCCG
rnacentral:rRNA from 1 species